rnacentral:ncRNA from 2 species
AGAGUUAAAUAGUACGUGAAAUUGUUGAAAGGGAAACGUUUGACACCAGUCAUGCGGGUGGAAAAUCAGUCUCUUGUAGUGGGGAAGCAUUUUGGUUCAGACCGCAAGGCUGGCCAGGGUGUUCUCUCUAUUGCGAGUGAUGCACUUUUUCAUUUGCAGGCCAACAUCAGUUUCUUCUGCUGGACAAAACCCUAAGAGAAGGUAGCAGCUUAGGCUGUGUUAUAGCUCUGGGGCGAUACAGUGGAGGGGACUGAGGUUUUCGCAGCGUGUGCUCUCGGGCAAGGCAGAUUGGGUGCUAUGGGAUCGUUCGGCGUACAAUGCAUGCAUUUUGCGCUGUGUCUUUUUCAUACUCGCUUAACUCUGCUCUUCCACGCUUAGGAUGUUGGCAUAAUGGUUUUAAACGACC